AAGCCUUCUUCACAACAAUUGAACCGCUCUCCUUGAAGUUCUUGAUGAUCCGAUAAAUGGUUGAUUUAGGUGCAAUCUUACUGGCAGCAAUAUCCUUGCCUGUGAAGCCCUUUUUGUGCAAAGCAAUGAUGACGGCACAUGUUUCCUUGCAGGUAACCAUGACUGACAAAGGAAGAACAAGGAUUCCAAGCACCACCCUCCUUUUGAAGCUUCCAGUCUGUUAUUCGAACUCAAACAGCAUGAGAGCGGGAUCUCCAGCCAUGUCCUCGUCAACACUCAGACCUGUGUUAACGAAAGAAUCACUGACAUGUCAGCUGGUCCUUUUGUGGCAGGGCUGACAUGCAGUGGAAAUGGUUUUGGGGGAUUCAGUUCAUUUGCAUGGCCAAGAGGGACUUUGCAAUUAAUUUCAAUUAAUCUGAUCACUCUUCAUAACAUUCUGGAGUAUAUGCAAAUUGCCAUCAUACAAACUGAGACAGAAGACUUUGUGAAAAUUAAUUUGUGUCAUUCUCAAAACUUUUGGCCACGACUGUAUUCUGGAUAGGGCAGUACUUUUGUGUAGUACCUUACCCUAGAAGUGAGGACGGAGAUAAUAGUAACAUAAUAUUCAGUGCGGUGUAAUUUGACUAUAAUGAAGUCUGUUUCUGGUGAGGUUAUCUUUCCUCAGUUAAAGAGCGCUAUGAAAGCAUAUCUACAUAUGAAGAGGUUCCAAUGAAGAACAGUGGUUCUCAGUCCUUGUCCUGGGGACUCAAAGGGGUGAAGGUUGUUGUUGUCUUAGCACUGCACAGCUGACUCAAAUGAUCAACUCAUAAUCAAGCUUCGAGUGGUAUUUAUGUAUUCAUUUGUGAUGCUAUCCUAGAUAUGAUCCUGUUAUUGUCAAUAUGUGUGCCCAUGCAUCUAUUAAUCCAAUGUUAUCAUGAUUUGUUAUCGGGGAUAUUAUACCUUAGUAAUCCACAGUGACCUGGUGAUGUAAAAGUCAAAUAAUUACAUUAUCUUCCAUAUUCCUAGAUACCUUGUAACUGGAGAUUCCUUCAAAACAAUUGCCUACAGUUAACGUGUAGGGCACUGCAAGGUUGGGUGACCAGGGCCAUCUGGGACUGCCUCCUGGAGGAAUUCAGGUAUGUGAAGGCUACCUGUGUCCUGCAUAACUUCUUGAGGAUGGACACGAGAACGAGGAGGGGAUCUGCAGCUCGCCGCCAUGUGCCAGAGGAGUCUGCUGCUCUGCAGGAUGUUUCAAGGAUGGGGUCCAACAACGCAGCAAGAGGCAAUCUGUGUACAGGAGAUAUUCACCUCCUACUUCUUUGAAGAGGGUUCUGUUCCCUGGCAACACCAUAGACUACACUAUGGACAACCAAAGGCUCUUUUAAGAGCCAUUCAUAUUGCAAUAAGAGUAUUCUUCCAUUUACUUAUGUCAACCGCAGUUAUUCAGUUCCCAGUUUCCCUCCCUUUGAUUUCUUCUUCUUAAGUGAGGGUGAUGUCUGUACAAAAACAAAGACACCCUAUAACCCACACACAUUUAUCAAUCUGAUUGUGUUAUGCAGUAACAGGCUCAUGUGUAAUACUGUGACUCCUUCCACCUUCAAAGAAUAGGCAAGAGGGCCAACCAUGGAGAAUAGUAAAACACUAAAUUAUUUCUAUUUCUAUAUUGUUUGUCCUCGUGUGUCCGUUUGUUUUUCAGCAUAAAGUACUCUGCAGCCAGCGUGGUGCGGACACCAGGUUAUAUCAGCUGUGUUGGUGAACCCCUUCCGCAACUGAACUGGCUGCAUAGAGGGCACAGCAUGAUCAGAGAUAUGUUUUGAUGUGAGAGGAUCCCAUCAUCGCCAGCUCACCUGCUUUUAAGAUAAACUUCGGGUAGACUAGACGCUAUUAUAAUAUAAUAAUAAUAAUAAUAUAUGCCAUUUAGCAGACGCUUUUAUCCAAAGCGACUUACAGUCAUGUGUGCAUACAUUCUACGUAUGGGUGGUCCCGGGAAUCGAACCCACUACCCUGGCGUUAUAAGCGCCAUGCUCUACCAACUGAGCUACAGAAGGACUCGACACAUAUAUACACGCUCACACAGACACAUAUAUACACGCUCACACAGACACAUAUAUACACGCUCACACAGACACACAUAUACACGCUCACACAGACACAUAUAUACACGCUCACACAGACACACAUAUACACGCUCACACAGACACAUAUAUACACGCUCACACAGACACAUAUACACACGCUCACACAGACACAUAUAUACACACUCACACAGACACAUAUAUACACGCUCACACAGACACAUAUAUACACACUCACACAGACACAUACAGUGCCUUGCGAAAGUAUCUGGCCCCCCUGAACUUUGCGACCCCCCGCCACACCUCAGGCCCCAAACACAAAGAUACAAAACUGCACUUUGUUGUGAAGAAUCAACAACAAGUGGGACACAAUCAUGAAGUGGAAGGACACCCACUGGAUAUUUCAAACCCCUUCAACAAAUCAAAAACUGAAAAGCUAUUAUGUAAUUGUGACAGAGAAUAUUUGGGUAGCACUGGGAUUCAAUUCAAUAUGCUGCCUUCCCUGCUCCUAUAUUCUUACACCUCUCACCUCCUUUCUUCCUCUGUUUUUAAAAAUGCACAAGAGAUGUGCAUUGAAGUACAGAUUGAACUUGUAUUUAUAAUACAA